rnacentral:lncRNA from 1 species
UUUGAUCUAAUUUUAUGUUUUUCCUAGAAAAAGUAUAUUUAAUGUUAGUUUAUAUUAGAAUUUGAAUAUAAUAUUUUACAUUAUUCGUAUAUGUAAAAUCAAAUAUUAGUUCUAGCAUAUAUCAUAGAACUUGAACCUAUAUAUAUAUAUAUACAUAUAUAUAUAUACACACACAUAUAUAUAUAGGGUCCUACUCCAAUGCAAAUUACCAAAAUACAAACUAAACACAAACCAACGCGAUUAAAUAGAACGGUAAGGGUUUUGGGACCGCGGAUGACCCCGAGAUGGGCCUAGACGGGGUCUAAGUGGGGCCUAGUAGGGUCGGGGCAGGGCCUAGUGGGACCAUGGUGAGGCCAAAUUUUGGCUCUUAAGGCUGUCUGGAGCAUGUUCAGGGCCUGUGAGGAGCCUUAGCAAGGCCCUAGCGGGCCCCGGGCGGAUUGAGUUGGGGCGAGGGUAGGCCCCAGGUGGGUGAUGACAUAUGGGUGGGUGAUGAGUGAUGACAUAUAGCGGGUGGGUGAUGUCAUUUAGGUAUAGUUUCCCUUGGUUUGUAUUUUAAUUUUUAUUUUAAUGGUUUGUAUUUGAGCAAUUGCCUAUAUAUAUAUAGACACA